rnacentral:lncRNA from 1 species
CUCCGAGCUCUGGGUGGUCUACUAUAAACUUCCUUACAGAGGUUAUGCUUAAAUGUUCUUCUUCUUCUGCUCAGCUGGAGUUAGUUGCCUGAGCAAUGCUAGGACAAGACAAAAUUAUUAAAAGCUUCCAGGGAUUUAGACAAAAAGAAAGGUGCUGAGGUCCUAAGCUUCUGAGGAGCCAUAUCUAAUGCCACAGCCCAGGAUUGGAGAUAAUCGGCCAUCCUUGCUUGUUGAUGGAAAAGAAAAAAAAUACUGAAGAAGAUUCUUUAGGUAUUCCUGUAUGAAGUCUCCUUUAGCAGAAGUCUUUCAAAACUUCUGCUAAAAUACAGACUUUAUAACCUACAUUUCAGUUGUGUUAACUUUUCCUGAAACUAAGUGUGACCACAGACAUUCGUGUAAAGCCAGAAACUUCAGAAUUUGGGAGUGUCCCAAAUGCAGUACCCUUUUCAAAAUGCAUGUGACAAAACACCUUUCUUCCCUGAGCUAUGAGCUGGAAGAAUUUUCUCAGCCUUCAUGUAGGCUGGCCUCAAACUCCUUGGCUCAAGUGAUCCUCCUGCCUCAGCCUCCUGAGUAUCUGCGACCACAGGCACAUGCCACCAUGCCCAGAUCUUCAUAAAUUUUUAAAGACCUCGAAAGAUAUCUACUGUAGAAGACUCUUAGUUUUUUUAAAAAAUUUUUUUAAUUAAAAUUAUUGAAGUGAAUAGUAUACACUCUGAGUUAACUUGAUGUAGUAUAACCAUUGUGAUAGUAUUUCUAAAAUAUGCUAUGGAAUAUGUUGGCUAAUUAAGUCUUACUUAUUAUUUACCUGUGGCAAUGGCAAUUUAUUUGGAUUUGUGAGAAAAAAAAUUUACAGUGUAUGAAAGUUCUAACAUAUGCUAAGACUACUCCUGCUCCUUCUUAACCACAAAAAUUUAAUGUAAGGUGUUUCAAUGGGAAUUCCACCAGCCUCCUCCAGCUAAAUGUUUUUCUUCUAAAACACUGUUUUAGGGAAGUUUCCAUUAAGAUGGGUUGAGGUAGAAUUAGGAUUAAAAUAAUAAACCAAAAAAACUUUAUGCAGAAAAAGUGAAAGCUAAGGGAAGUCCAGGGUAUGUCAAUGAUUGCCGAAUAAAAGAAGAACGGAAAUGUGAUAUGAAUGUGUAACUUUUAGCAUGUAUUCCCCUAAACCAUUCCUACCGUCUGCUAUAUUCAUUAUCAACUCCAAAGUGGGGAAAAAAGAAGUAAAAGGUUUUGUUGUCUUGCUCUACUAGCUGCGUUUUUAAAAUAGUUGGCUUGUCCUCGCUAGUUGGAGGUGUCCAAAAUAUCAUAGAAUUGGAUGAAAGAAAUGAAUAUUUGAACCCUAAAGCAAUUCACAUUCCUGAAUUGUGUGUGUGUGUGUGUGUGUGUGUGUGUGUGUGUGUGUGUAUGUGAGAGAGAGAGAGAGGGUACUAAGACAAAAAUUAAGUAUGUUUAUUUAAUUAAUCUAGUAAAUAGUAAAAUUAUCCAAAGAUACUGAAUAAAAAGGCACAGGCACAGGAAAAACAAAGGAAUUGUAUUAUCUAACCCACAAUUACCAAACUGAGUAGUCUUUUUUUAAUUCUUUAUAGAUGCUCUCCUAUCAUUCAGUUAUGGAGAGGUCAGUCUGAAUUUAUUUUCUAAGAAAAUAGAUCUUAUUAACAUACCAUAUAACUCUUCAAGGCAGCUCUUUCUAAAAACAGUAUUACCACCAUGCAGUCUUAAGUACCCAUACUCUGGGAACUCUUAGAGGGAAUGAGAUGAUUAGGGGAAAAAAAGAUGGAAAUCAGAUCUACUCGAAAGAAAGACAUUAUGAGGAAACUUGAAACUAUUGAAUACAGAGAAGUUUGAGAAUCUUUCUUAAUCUUAAUUAUUUGUUCUGUAUUUACCUCCUUUUAUCACUGAUAAUGUAGUUUUCUGUACCCAAUAAAGGUAAAUGUAAG